CUUUAAAAGGAAAAGCUUCAAAUACGUCAUCAUUCAGAGGACAGUAGAAGCAGCCAAUGAUUGUCCCCCCUUCCCCCUCGGGGCACACAUAGAUCAGAACACCCUAACCUAUCUCAUGGGAGAACAAAACACAAAAGUUUGUCCUCAUGGAGCUUCGUGGGGUGGAAUCAGGCAGGAAAGAAAUGAGACAACAGAGAGGGACAGUCUGUGAGGCCAUCAGAGCUGCAAAGGAAAGUGAAGUCAGGGAGUGGGCAGGCUCUGGGAGGAAGCACUGCUACCAUCUAGAGAGUUCUUGGAAGGCCUCGUUGAGAUGCCUGUGUUUCUGCAAAGACCAGAAGGAGGUUUGUCCUUUCCUGUAUGGAGAAUGCUCUACUCCUCUCCUACCCAGGGGAGGCCAGGGACCGAGGACUGCCAAGGGAGCCUCUGGGUACCACUGGUGCUCCAUGAUCCUGGAUGGAUGCUGGAUGGAUGCUGGAUUUUGGUUCUGCAACAUUGCAUGCAUGAAACCACGUGUGGGAAGUAGCCUGGAGAGUUGCACACAUGGCGAGUUUUAGGAGAGAUGGCAAAGAACCUUCCAGUGAGCCCUGCUGGACCUCGGUUGCUAGCAUCCUAUGCCUUCUCUGAGCACUGCUCGUGGCUGGCUGUCAUCCAUGAAGACCCCAGAGCCAGCUUUUGGCUGCUGUUGCUUCUUCUCCCUAGUCAAUCCAUUGUUUUCUGGGUUAAUUGAUCCAUCAGCUUCAGGGAGAAGCACAUACAAACAGCAAGCCCACCCCAUACCUUGGACUGCCCAGUGGCAUUGGGCACCUAGAGCAUCGAUGACGUCACAUCAGCCACUGUCUCUGGAGACCUGAGCCUUGGCCUUUAGAAUGUCCCUUAGAGGCUGCUAGCUGCAGCAGCAUAGGGCCUGAGAGCUGAUCACAAAGUUGCCCUGGCUUGAGGCCACUGGAGUCUACAGCCCAGUUCACCCAAUCCAGGAAACACAACUAUAUGUUGAAUACAAAGAGUUGUGGGCAUAGUUUAGGGACUCAGAAACCCAGUUCUCCUUUUUCGCCAGCAUGCUGCAGAUGCUGGUGGCAGUAGCUGAUUCAAGAGACAGCAGCUUCUGUGUCCACUGAAAGGUCGGUCCAGUCGCCCACCUACCCCCUGUUGUCACCUCCCAUGAUGUCAUUCCCCAAAGGGAUUUCUUCCCUCUGUGGCACAUGUCAAAGGUACAUGGGUUUGCAAA